rnacentral:lncRNA from 1 species
AUGUUGACCAGCCUUGCGCAUUUCCAGGCUGCACUUACUUCAUUGUCUCUGUUUUAGAAAUGGCCUUUAUGCCUCCUGGUCUCAACAUAGAGCAAAAAGGACCAUCUGGACACCACAUAUGAGGAAAUCAGACAUCUCUAGGUUAAAUCAUGCCCAUAAGGACAAUUUCUUGUCAGAUAAGCUGCUGUGUACUUAGUCUGAUAACUAACAGAAUUACAAUAUGGUAAUUCUAACUGGAAAUCGUCCAUUUUCAUCCUCAGGUUUCCUCUUUUCUCCCCAUUGGUAAGCACCCUUUGAGUCCUACUCCUGUGCACUUGUACUCAAAGCCACCCCCAGCUCUGUUUCAAGCCGUGGCAGCUGUGAAACGUCUGGACAGCAGAGUGUUGUGCUGUUGGCUCACGCAUCAUCACGCAGUGGGGCAGAAGCACAUAAUUGUGUAAUGGAAUAAUUUGAUUUCCUCCGAUUUCUAGACACUUCACAAAAUAAACAAGGCAGUAAAAUGAAGCGUAAAGAGUAACUGGUGAGGUUUGAGUCUCACAUUGCUGUCACUUGCUAGCCUGGGUGACCUUCAGUAAAUCGCAAACUUUUUUUU